rnacentral:rRNA from 1 species
UACGAAGGGGGCUAGCGUUGUUCGGAAUUACUGGGCGUAAAGCGCACGUAGGCGGCUUUCUAAGUCGGGGGUGAAAUCCUGGAGCUCAACUCCAGAACUGCCUUCGAUACUGGAAAGCUCGAGUCCGGGAGAGGUGAGUGGAACUGCGAGUGUAGAGGUGAAAUUCGUAGAAUAUUCGCAAGAACACCAGUGGGCGAAGGCGGCUCACUGGCCCGGUACUGACGCUGAGGUGCGAAAGGCGUGGGGAGCAAACAGG